GAUGAACGCUGGCGGCGCACAUAAGACAUGCAAGUUGAACGGACUUAAUCGAAAUAUUUAUAUUUUGAAGCGGUUAGUGGCGGACUGGUGAGUAACGCGUAAGGAACCUGCCUAUUAGAGGGGAAUAACAGUGAGAAAUCAUUGCUAAUACCGCAUAUGCCAUAGAUAUCACAUGAUAACAGUGGGAAAGGAGCAAUCCGCUAAUAGAUGGCCUUGCGUCUGAUUAGAUAGUUGGUGGGGUAACGGCCUACCAAGUCAACGAUUAGUAGCCGGACUGGGAGGGGUGACGGCCACAAUGGGAAUGGGAAACGGCCCAGACUCCUACGGGAGGGAGGAGGCGGGAAUAAUGCGCAAGGGAGGAAACUCUGACGGAGGCACGGCGCGGAUAGGAAGAAGGUUUUCGGAGUGUAAAAUAUUGUCGUUAUGGAAGAGAAAGGACAGUACCUAAGGAGGAAGCUCCGGCUAACUACGUG
rnacentral:rRNA from 1 species